rnacentral:rRNA from 1 species
UACGAAGGGGGCUAGCGUUGCUCGGAAUUACUGGGCGUAAAGCGCACGUAGGCGGUUUGUCGCGUCUGCUGUGAAAACGCGGAGCUCAACCUCGCGCCUGCAGUGGGUACGGGCAGACUGGAGUGCGGUAGGGGAGAUUGGAAUUCCUGGUGUAGCGGUGGAAUGCGCAGAUAUCAGGAGGAACACCGAUGGCGAAGGCAGAUCUCUGGGUAGUAACUGACGCUGAGGAACGAAAGCGUGGGUAGCGAACAGG